ensembl:lncRNA
CCUGCAAGGACUGGGUUCGAGGGAGAUAGACACAAAGAAUGAAGAGGCAGGAUUAAGGCCAGGAUUAAAGGCAGAGAACAGGCUAGGAGAGCUCCCAGGAUUCAGGCCCUGAGUCAGGCCACAGGCGGCUUCCUGAUCCAGGCUUCUACUCGGUCACCAACAUACCAGAUGGCCACAUGUUUGCCCUGGAGGCGAAGGAGCAGAAUGUUCUUAACCCAGGAUUAACCAGAAAAUGCUACACUCAGAAAGAGCUAGGAAAGGGCGGGGGCGGUGGAGGGAGGAAAAGAAGAUGGGAAAGAAAUCUACCUAGGAAGCGAUCGCUGAGCACCUCCCAGCCCAAACCCACCUGGGGUGGGAGCACAGUGCUGGGUCCAGGAUCCGAGCUCACUGCUCGACACAGGAGACCUCAUUUAACAGGCAGCAUGGCCCUGCAAGGCAGGUGGCCACUCUGACCUGUAAAAGCCGCCUCAGUUUCACAGAGCUCAUUGGAAAAUCUACAGCCAGGUCUGUCCUCAAGAAGGGAGCCAUGGAGCCAAGAAAUAGUGGAGAAAUUACCCAUGGGUCUUAAAAAAAAAGAAGACAAUUAAAG